rnacentral:rRNA from 1 species
GACGAACGCUGGCGGCGUGCUUAACACAAGCAAGUCGAACGGAAAGGCUCCAGCUUGCUGGAGUACUCGAGUGGCGAACGGGUGAGUAACACGUGGGUAAUCUGCCCUGCACUCUGGGAUAAGCCUGGGAAACUGGGUCUAAUACUGGAUAUGACCUUUCUCCUUAUGGGGUUUGGAGGAAAGUUUUUCGGUGUAGGAUGAGCCCGCGGCCUAUCAGCUUGUUGGUGGGGUGAUGGCUUACCAAGGCGACGACGGGUAGCCGGCCUGAGAGGGUGAUCGGCCACAUUGGGACUGAGAUACGGCCCAGACUCCUACGGGAGGCAGCAGUGGGGAAUAUUGCACAAUGGGCGGAAGCCUGAUGCAGCGACGCCGCGUGAGGGAUGACGGCCUUCGGGUUGUAAACCUCUUUCAGCAGGGACGAAGCGUAAGUGACGGUACCUGCAGAAGAAGCACCGGCUAACUAUGUG